UCCCCGUGCGCGUCUAGCCAGGAGUCUGCGCCCUAGAGCAUCCGCAGCGCCCGCGGGCUGGUGCCCAGCGUGCUAACCAUGCGUCUGCGGCCACGGCGGAGUUGCGAGCACCUUUAGCGCCCCCUGCGAAGCACCUCGCGAUGCCCCAGCCACUGUGAACCUUGCCUCCUUACGCUGAGCCCGGGAUAUCAGCCUUGGACACCCUGGACUCUGCGCGAGCCCGCGACAAACACAGAAGCGUCCAGACGGCAGAAAGUGCAGGAAGGCCUCCCAGCUCCAGCAGGGGAAGCCGGUGGGUGCGGCGCGGGGACACGCACCCCGGCUGGCACUUGCGACUAGGG
rnacentral:other from 1 species